rnacentral:sRNA from 1 species
CAAAAAAGGAAAAAAAA